rnacentral:snoRNA from 1 species
UUUGCAUGAUGAACAAAACUUCUCACCAUCUUUCGACUGAGAACAAACGUUGAUGUCAAAUAAGUUUUUAACUGAUCCAAUGA